rnacentral:rRNA from 1 species
UGGGGAAUAUUGGACAAUGGGGGCAACCCUGAUCCAGCAAUGCCGCGUGUGUGAAGAAGGUCUUCGGAUUGUAAAGCACUUUCGACGGGGACGAUGAUGACGGUACCCGUAGAAGAAGCCCCGGCUAACUUCGUGCCAGCAGCCGCGGUAAUACGAAGGGGGCUAGCGUUGCUCGGAAUGACUGGGCGUAAAGGGCGUGUAGGCGGUUUACACAGUCAGAUGUGAAAUCCCCGGGCUUAACCUGGGAGCUGCAUUUGAUACGUGUAGACUAGAGUGCGAGAGAGGGUUUGUGGA